rnacentral:rRNA from 1 species
GACGAACGCUGGCGGCGCGCUUAACACAUGCAAGUCGAACGGAAAGGCCUGCUUUCCCUUGUGGAUUGCGGGUACUCGAGUGGCGAACGGGUGAGUAACACGUGAGUGAUCUGCCCCCAACUUGGGUAUAAGCCUGGGAAACUGGGUCUAAUUCCCGAUAGGACUGCAGGGUGGUGCCUGUGGUGGAAAACGAUUUUCUAGUGGUUGGGGAUGAGCUCGCGGCCUAUCAGCUUGUUGGUGGGGUAAUGGCCUACCAAGGCGGCGACGGGUAGCCGGCCUGAGAGGGUGGACGGCCACAUUGGGACUGAGAUACGGCCCAGACUCCUACGGGAGGCAGCAGUGGGGAAUAUUGCGCAAUGGGCGGAAGCCUGAUGCAGCGACGCCGCGUGGGGGAUGACGGCCUUCGGGUGGUAAACUCCUUUCGACCGCGAGGAAGCCACCUGGUUGGAAGGGUGGUGACGGUAGUGGUAGAAGAAGCACCGGCUAACUACGUG